rnacentral:rRNA from 1 species
CCUACGGGUGGCAGCAGUGAGGAAUAUUGGUCAAUGGUCGGGAGACUGAACCAGCCAAGCCGCGUGAGGGAGGAAGGUACAGAGUAUCGUAAACCUCUUUUGUCAGGGAACAAAGUCGGGGACGUGACCCCGGCUGAGUGUACUUGAAGAAAAAGCAUCGGCUAACUCCGUGCCAGCAGCCGCGGUAAUACGGAGGAUGCGAGCGUUAUCCGGAUUUAUUGGGUUUAAAGGGUGCGUAGGCGGACUGUUAAGUCAGCGGUAAAAGCCCGGGGCUCAACCCCGGCCCGCCGUUGAAACUGGCAGUCUCGAGUUGGAGAGAGGUAUGCGGAAUGCGCAGUGUAGCGGUGAAAUGCGUAGAUAUCGCGCAGAACUCCGAUUGCGAAGGCAGCAUGCCGGCGGCGAACUGACGCUGAGGCACGAAAGCGUGGGUAUCGAACAGGAUUAGAUACCCGGGUAGUC